CUUUUGCGGCGAUGUUCUUCCCCGAUUUAGCGCGUGCAAUUGCGUGAAUAGUUUCGUCGUAUUUGGGGUCCGGUUUUGGGAACUCCGGUUCUGGGUCUGGAAGAAUGACGGCGGCGGCGGAGUUGCUGAAGAACCGGAGGUGGUAGUGGUGGAGGGAGGCGGUCAGUGCUACGCGUCGGAUCAACAUUUUUUUUUUGAAUGUGAUAUGGAAGAACGACGGCGGCGGCGGAGUUGCUGAAGAACCGGAGGUGGUAGUGGUGGAGGGAGGCGGUCAGUGCUACGCGUCGGAUCAACAUUUUUUUUUUGAAUGUGAUCGAGUCCGAGACACUGUGAGGAAUGGGGCGGAGGGGCUUAACGAGGGUUUUUAGUGGACUGACCAGUGGGCUGUAAAACUCAAUGCGUUAUGUUCGGAACUAGUUACGGUUAGUCCGGGCUGUGCCCGCCCCAAC
rnacentral:lncRNA from 1 species